UCCUACGGGAGGCAGCAGUGGGGAAUAUUGCACAAUGGGCGAAAGCCUGAUGCAGCAACGCCGCGUGAGUGAAGAAGGUUUUCGGAUUGUAAAGCUCUGUCUUUGGGGACGAUAAUGACGGUACCCAAGGAGGAAGCCACGGCUAACUACGUGCCAGCAGCCGCGGUAAUA
rnacentral:rRNA from 1 species